AUGCAUAUUCUGAAAAUGGCGGCUUGAUUAACUUGCUUGUGCAAAAUAUUUUGGUGUCAAAAACACGACAUUCUCCAUUCUUAUACAAAAUUAACAAUGGGAUUUUCCAGAUCUGAAGCAUACGAUGUUUUAGAAUUACCAAUAGGUGUGUAUUAACAGGGAAAAUGGUUUUUCUUAACUUUCUUACUUUGACGACUGUUACCUCGUAAAUGUCCUGGACAAUAGUUUUGCAGUGAUUGAAACGCUAAAAAGUGAGAGACUUCUGUUUGAAAGUUAACUAAAUUUUAUUUUUAAUGGUAAACCAAAAAUAUAACUUUACAUAUUGCUUCCUAGACAACGUGUUAAACUCAUGACAACAGAGAAAACUCGAAUGUUCUAUACUACGUGACCCAUACAUGUACAUCUUCAUCUUCCCUUUACGGAAUGGAGUAUAUUAAUCAUUGAUUUAAAUUAUCCAGUAAUUCUAUGGUAGACAGUGACAUAUCUGUUAAAAAAGUUUACAAAGUUAAUAAGGGAAGGAUGAAACAUCUGGUCUAAAUAGAAUACCUUUGACACUUCAGUUAUUUACUUAAGGAAUGAAUUCAAUAUUUAUUUGUUUUAUACGAUAUAAAAUGGGUUGGGGCAGUUUACGCUUUAUAAACCGCGAAGCAGUAAACAAAAAAGCGUAAACUGUUCCAAACCAUUUUAUAUCGUAUAAAACUAAUAAAUAUUGAAUUCAUUUCUUACAAUUUAAUUUUUUUACUCUUCAUUGUAGAUAAAAACGGUCAUUUGACUUAUAAAAUGACGUAAAAUUGUACAAAAUUCAAACGUAACGUCAGGCGUAUUUAUACGUUUUUGACGUUAGUCUUAUUAUGACAUAGGCAACAUUCUUUAUACGAUAUAAAAUAAUUUUUUUUUAGCCAAUCAGAAAGCGCGUUACAACCAGAAUUAAAUUAUUAUAUUUAUAAUAUACAGGAGCAGAUCAAGAUUCGGUUAGAACCAGCUAUAAACGUCUUGCCCUGAAAUGGCAUCCCGAUAAACAUGGCAACUCAACAGAAUCCAUGAGAGUAAGUGGAAACUGCUCAUACUUUUUUGUAAUUAGAAUUACCUGAAAAAAAUAGGAUUAAAAUUAAAAAUGUAUAAUAUAUUAUAAACCUUGUUAAGAUAUCUUGUUUUCUUUGAAAAGAAAAAAGGUGGAACAAUAUUUUUACUUGCAGGUUU
rnacentral:misc_RNA from 1 species